rnacentral:misc_RNA from 1 species
AAGUCGUAACAAGGUUUCCGUAGGUGAACCUGCGGAAGGAUCAUUAACACGUAUCCAAACGUUAAACCCCCCUGUGAACCUUCAGUCGUACUCGUACCCUGGUAAAUCAUCGCCGAACAGUUUUCGAUUCAGGGACGUCUGCAAGGAGCGUGCAUGUUGUGCGUGUAAGUGGCCUGGCAUCCCCAAGCAGUUAGUGUCUGAAAGUGUCACUAACGUUAGUGUCUGAAAGUGUCACUAACAUGUGUAAGGAUGACGCAGUCACGAUCGUUGGAGGCCCACACGGCCGACGACCGGGUCACCGGGUGCAAGCCCCCUUAUCACACCCCUGCUCUAUCUAUGGUGAUCCUGCGGGAAGUCCUGCGGUCGAACGCCGAAACCGAACAACUGUUAACAAUGGAUAUCUUGGUUCUC